UACGGAGGGUGCGAGCGGUGUCCGGAAUCAUUGGGGGUAAAGGGCGCGUAGGUGGCCCGGUCAGGCUUUGGUGAAAGCGCGGGGCUCAACCCUGCGUCGGCCAGGGAUACUGCCGCGGCUCGAGCACUGUAGAGGCAGGCGGAAUUCCGGGUGUAGCGGUGGAAUGCGUAGAGAUCCGGAAGAACACCGGUGGCGAAGGCGGCCUGCUGGGCAGUUUAGCUGACGCUGAUGCGCGACAGCGUGGGGAGCAAACAGG
rnacentral:rRNA from 1 species